rnacentral:rRNA from 1 species
UACGUAGGGUGCAGGCGUUAAUCGGAAUUACUGGGCGUAAAGCGUGCGCAGGCGGUUUGCUAAGACAGGUGUGAAAUCCCCGGGCUCAACCUGGGAACUGCAUUGUGACUGCAUGGCUAGAGUACGGUAGAGGGGGAUGGAAUUCCGCGUGUAGCAGUGAAAUGCGUAGAUAUGCGGAGGAACACCGAUGGCGAAGGCAAUCCCCUGGACCUGUACUGACGCUCAUGCACGAAAGCGUGGGGAGCAAACAGG